AUUUCUCAUUCUUGUAGGCUACCAUUUCUUUUGGCUUAUUACAAAACAACAGGAUGCUGCAGCUUUAUCAAAGUCUACUUAUUUGUCCACUAAAAGUUUAUGGCUAUACGUUUCCAACUAGAACAUCUGAACACCAAUAUAUGGAAUUCUGACAAAGUUAAAACCAGGAAGAGAUCCUAUGAAGGCUGACAUUUUGUACAUCUGUUUUAUAGAACAAUAAAAAUAAGAAGAACAAGAAUAAGAACAGCAACAACAUUUGCAGCCACUGUCUAGACCACAGGAAACCUGGUCAACAACAUAUGGGAUGUCACCAGAUUCAGACUCAGAAGUUUCCAUAAUGCCGUUGCCAACAGCUAGACACAAUGAAGAAACGGCUAUAUAGAGAGAUAAAGAAGCUUGCUCAAGGAUACACAGCCAGAAAGCAAAAGAGUUGGAGUUUGAACUUCGACAGUCUAACUCGAGGUUCUUUCUCUGUGUUUAAUCAGUCAACCACACUGCCUCUUCAGAAGCACGCAUAAUGUAUGCUCUAAAAAGUAAUGUCAAUGUAUUAGGUGUCA
rnacentral:lncRNA from 10 species